rnacentral:rRNA from 1 species
CUACAUGAAGCUGGAGUUACUAGUAAUCGCAGAUCAGAAUGCUGCGGUGAAUGCGUUCCCGGGUCGUGUACACACCGCCCGUCACACCACGGGAGUUGGAGACGCCCGAAGCCGAUUAUCUAACCUUUUGGAAGAAGUCGUCGAAGGUGGAAUUAAUAACUGGGGUGAAGUCGUAACAAGGUAGCCGUAUCGGAAGGUGCGGCUGGAUCACCUCCUUUCUAAGGAGA